rnacentral:rRNA from 1 species
CCCUUAGUUACCAGCGGGUAAUGCCCGGGAACUCUAAGGGGACUGCCUUGGUUAACGAGGAGGAAGGUGGGGACGACGUCAAGUCAUCACGGCCUUUAUGUCCAGGGCCACACACGUGCUACAAUGGCCGGCACAAAGGGUUGCCAACCCGCGAGGGGGAGCCAAUCCCAAAAAUCCGGCCUCAGUUCGGAUUGCAGUCUGCAACUCGACUGCAUGAAGUCGGAAUCGCUAGUAAUCGCGAAUCAGCAGGUCGCGGUGAAUACGUUCCCGGGCCUU